UAGGGAAUAUUGGGCAAUGGACGAGAGUCUGACCCAGCCAUGCCGCGUGUAGGAAGAAGGCUUUCUGAGUUGUAAACUACUUUUGAUCAGGAACAAAAGAUCCCUGCGGGGAGCAUUGAGUGUACUGAUAGAAUAAGCACCGGCUAACUCCGUGCCAGCAGCCGCGGUAAUACGGAGGGUGCAAGCGUUGUCCGGAUUUAUUGGGUUUAAAGGGUGCGUAGGCGGCUAAUUAAGUCAGCGGUGAAAUUCCACAGCUUAACUGUGGAACUGCCAUUGAUACUGGUUGGCUUGAGUACAGAUGAGGUAGGCGGAAUUGACAGUGUAGCGGUGAAAUGCUUAGAUAUUGUCAAGAACACCUAUUGCGAAGGCAGCUUACUAAGCUGUAACUGACGCUGAGGCACGAAAGCGUGGGGAUCAAACAG
rnacentral:rRNA from 1 species